rnacentral:rRNA from 1 species
CCUACGGGAGGCAGCAGUGAGGAAUAUUGGUCAAUGGGCGAGAGCCUGAACCAGCCAAGUAGCGUGAAGGAUGACUGCCCUACGGGUUGUAAACCUCUUUUAUAAAGGAAUAAAGUGAGGCACGUGUGCCUUUUUGUAUGUACUUUAUGAAUAAGGAUCGGCUAACUCCGUGCCAGCAGCCGCGGUAAUACGGAGGAUACGAGCGUUAUCCGGAUUUAUUGGGGUUAAAGGGAGCGUAGAUGGGUUGUUAAGUCAGUUGUGAAAGUUUGCGGCUCAACCGUAAAAUUGCAAUUGAUACUGGAAGCCUUGAGUACAGUUGAGGUAGGCGGAAUUCGUGGUGUAGCGGUGAAAUGCUUAGAUAUCACGAAGAACUCCGAUUGCGAAGGCAGCUUACUAAACUGCCACUGACAUUGAUGCUCGAAAGUGUGGGUAUCAAACAGGAUUAGAUACCCCAGUAGUC